GCAGCUUUACUGGAAUUCAUGGAAAGCCAUGGCGAUUUAACAAGGCCGCAGCAAGGUCUCCAAGGUCGAAUAAAAGCUGACCGACUGUGGCAGGAACUAGGAGAGCUGCUUAACUCGCUUGGUGGAGGAGUAACAAAGCCAGUGGACAAAUGGAAAAAAGUGUGGGCAGAUUGGAAAA